rnacentral:rRNA from 1 species
GACAGAGGCCCCGAGCGUUAGGCGGAAUCACUGGGCUUAAAGCGUGUGUAGGCGGGCCCGUAAGUGUCUUGUGAAAUCCCACGGCUCAACCGUGGAACUGCUGGGCAUACUGCGGGUCUUGGGCCAACUAGGGGCAGCCGGAACAAGCGGUGGAGCGGUGAAAUGCGUAGAUAUCGCUUGGAACGCCGAAGGUGAAAACAGGCUGCUGGGGUUGCGCCGACGCUGAGACACGAAAGCUAGGGGAGCGAACGGG